AGAAAGGAGGGAGAGAGGGAAGGAGAGGAGGUAACACAGUGGACAGACAGUGUGGGAGCCAGUGUGUGUGUGGACAGAGUUGAAUCAUUUUAAGGUCUUUGUGUUGUUGGGGAGAACAUGGACAUAGUGAUUAAUGUUAGAUUUUUUUUUUAAUGUAAGAAUGUUUGCCAAAAUAGGGUAAUCCCUGAAAGAACAGAAGGAGAGGAAGAAAUGGAAUGGAGAGAUGAGAUCCCAGCAGGGGGAGGGCAAUCCCUUCACCCCAGUUGCCAAACAGCCCCCCUCACCCCCUGGACCUUCCUCUUCCCUCUAUCCCUGACGGUUCUGGCCUUCCCAAACCGCUUCUGAUCUUCUGAUUCCUCUUGGGUUGAAGCAGACCAAGUUCCCCCCAGGCACCCUAGUUUGGGGGGGUCCUGUAUUUUUUUUAACGACACUCCAAUUCCCCACCUGUUCCUCCCUUUUCCCAUGCUGCCAAUUUCUAAC